GAUGAACGCUGGCGGCGUGCCUAAUACAUGCAAGUCGAGCGAACAGAUGAGGAGCUUGCUCCUCUGACGUUAGCGGCGGACGGGUGAGUAACACGUGGAUAACCUACCUAUAAGACUGGGAUAACUUCGGGAAACCGGAGCUAAUACCGGAUAAUAUAUUGAACCGCAUGGUUCAAUAGUGAAAGACGGUUUUGCUGUCACUUAUAGAUGGAUCCGCGCCGCAUUAGCUAGUUGGUAAGGUAACGGCUUACCAAGGCAACGAUGCGUAGCCGACCUGAGAGGGUGAUAGGCCAAGCUGGAACUGAGACACGGUCCAGACUACUACGGGAGGCAGCAGUAGGGAAUCUUCCGCAAUGGGCGAAAGCCUGACGGAGCAACGCCGCGUGAGUGAUGAAGGUCUUCGGAUCGUAAAACUCUGUUAUUAGGGAAGAACAAAUGUGUAAGUAACUAUGCACGUCUUGACGGUACCUAAUCAGAAAGCCACGGCUAACUACGUG
rnacentral:rRNA from 1 species